AUAGAUACCCUGGUAGUCCUAGCUGUAAACGAUGAGCACUGGGUUGAGGGGACUUCCACAUCCUCUCGGCCGUAGCGAAAGCGUUAAGUGCUCCGCCUGGGGAGUAUGGCCGCAAGGCUGAAACUCAAAGGAAUUGACGGGGGCUCACACAAGCGGUGGAGGAUGUGGCUUAAUUCGAGGCUACGCGAAGAACCUUAUCCUAGAUUUGACAUGGUUGAGAAUCUCCUUGAAAGAGGAGAGUGCCCUUCGGGGAGCUCUUUCACGGGUGCUGCAUGGCUGUCGUCAGCUCGUGUCGUGAGAUGUUGGGUUAAGUCCCUUAACGAGCGAAACCCUUAUCUUUAGUUGCCAGCGGGUCAAGCCGGGGACUCUAAAGAGACUGCCGGUGUCAAACCGGAGGAAGGUGGGGAUGACGUCAAGUCCUCAUGGCCUUUAUGUCUAGGGCUGCACACGUCCUACAAUGGCACGUACAAAGGGAAGCCAAGCCGCGAGGCCGCGCUAAUCCCAAAAAGCGUGCCCCAGUUCGGAUUGCAGG
rnacentral:rRNA from 1 species